rnacentral:rRNA from 1 species
ACGAACGCUGGCGGCACGCUUAACACAUGCAAGUCGAACGAGAGAAGAGGAGCUUGCUUUUCUGAUCUAGUGGCGGACGGGUGAGUAACACGUGAGCAAUCUGCCUUUCAGAGGGGGAUACCGAUUGGAAACGAUCGUUAAUACCGCAUAACAUAAUUGAACCGCAUGAUUUGAUUAUCAAAGAUUUAUCGCUGAAAGAUGAGCUCGCGUCUGAUUAGCUAGUUGGUAAGGUAACGGCUUACCAAGGCGACGAUCAGUAGCCGGACUGAGAGGUUGAUCGGCCACAUUGGGACUGAGACACGGCCCAGACUCCUACGGGAGGCAGCAGUGGGGAAUAUUGCACAAUGGAGGAAACUCUGAUGCAGCGAUGCCGCGUGAGGGAAGAAGGUUUUAGGAUUGUAAACCUCUGUCUUCAGGGACGAAAAAAGACGGUACCUGAGGAGGAAGCUCCGGCUAACUACGUGCCAGCAGCCGCGGUAAUACGUAGGGAGCGAGCGUUGUCCGGAAUUACUGGGUGUAAAGGGAGCGUAGGCGGGAUCGCAAGUCAGAUGUGAAAACUAUGGGCUUAACCCAUAAACUGCAUUUGAAACUGUGGUUCUUGAGUGAAGUAGAGGUAAGCGGAAUUCCUAGUGUAGCGGUGAAAUGCGUAGAUAUUAGGAGGAACAUCAGUGGCGAAGGCGGCUUACUGGGCUUUAACUGACGCUGAGGCUCGAAAGCGUGGGGAGCAAACAGGAUUAGAUACCCUGGUAGUCCACGCCGUAAACGAUGAUUACUAGGUGUGGGGGGACUGACCCCUUCCGUGCCGCAGCAAACGCAAUAAGUAAUCCACCUGGGGAGUACGACCGCAAGGUUGAAACUCAAAGGAAUUGACGGGGGCCCGCACAAGCAGUGGAGUAUGUGGAUUAAUUCGAAGCAACGCGAAGAACCUUACCAGGUCUUGACAUCGUAUGCAUAGCUCAGAGAUGAGUGAAAUCUCUUCGGAGACAUAUAGACAGGUGGUUCAUGGUUGUCGUCAGCUCGUGUCGUGAGAUGUUGGGUUAAGUCCCGCAACGAGCGCAACCCUUACUGUUAGUUGCUACGCAAGAGCACUCUAGCAGGACUGCCGUUGACAAAACGGAGGAAGGUGGGGAUGACGUCAAAUCAUCAUGCCCCUUAUGACCUGGGCCUCACACGUACUACAAUGGCUGUCAACAGAGGGAAGCAAAGCCGCGAGGUGGAGCAAACCCCUAAAAGCAGUCUUAGUUCGGAUUGUAGGCUGCAACCCGCCUACAUGAAGUCGGAAUUGCUAGUAAUCGCAGAUCAGCAUGCUGCGGUGAAUACGUUCCCGGGCCUUGUACACACCGCCCGUCACGCCAUGGGAGUCGGUAACACCCGAAGCCUGUAGUCUAACCGCAAGGAGGACGCAGUCGAAGGUGGGAUUGAUGACUGGGGUG